AAGGCCUGAUGUGUGUGAGAUUACCCGCUGAAUUUAAGCAUAUAAGUAAGCGGAGGAAAAGAAACUAACUAGGAUUCCCUUAGUAAUGGCGAAUGAACAGGGAUCAGCUCAGUGCCAAAUCGGAAUCACUUGUGGUUCUGAAAUGUGGCUUGAAGGCAGUACCAGUGGCAUCGCGGACGAAAGUCUCUUGGAAAAGAGCGUCAUAGAGGGUGAGAAUCCCGUGAGUCGUUCGCCGUUUGUCACGUACGGUCUGCGUUCUAACGAGUCGCGUUCCUUGGGAUUGGAGCGUAAACGGGUGGUAAAUUUCAUCCAAAGCAAAAUAUAUACUCGAGACCGAUAGCACAAAAGUACCGUGAGGGAAAGGUGAAAAGAACUUUGAGAAGAGGGUUAAAUAGUGCCUGAAAUCGUUGAGAAGGAAGCGGAUGCCGCCGUUGCAUAUGCUGAUUGUAGGAUUGCUGCUCGCUCCUGUCUUCUGCUACUCAUUCACAGACCUGGUCGUGUUGAGCAGUUGUUUGGCAGAUGUUAGUGGUGUUUCCUACUUUCAGUCGUCAGCAUCACUGGCUGAGUGGAAAUAAUCCUUGGAUGCUAAUUGGUUCGCUAUCUGUGAAUUGGUUGCUUCCUUGCGAUACUCACUACUCGGUCAGUGAGGAAGUGCGUUUGCUGGUCAACGAGCUUUCUAACUGUCAUACCCUGCGCUUUCGAUCGUCGAGGGCCAGGAUGUGGCUUUGAGAUUGUCGCACUUAGUAUCGCGAUGCUGG
rnacentral:ncRNA from 1 species